ACUGAUUUCUCGGAUGACCUUAAUUCGUUCCUUCUGUGAAUACGGCGAGUACCAUUUUGACAACCUGAGCUUCCUUUGACGAUUAAUUAUAAGAACAAAGUGAAUCUACAACAUGCCACCAAUACAAGGAAUCAAACCUCAAAACAGAACUUAC